rnacentral:rRNA from 1 species
AACGCUAGCUACAGGCUUAACACAUGCAAGUCGAGGGGCAGCAUUAUUUGUAGCAAUACAGAUAGAUGGCGACCGGCGCACGGGUGAGUAACGCGUAUCCUACCUUCCCCUGUCUCGGGUAUAGCCUUCCGAAAGGGAGAUUAAUCCCCGAUGGCGUCAAGAGGCCGCAUGGCAUCCUGACUAAAGCGUAAGCGGACAGGGCUGGGGGUGCGUCCCAUUAGGUGGUUGGCGGGGUAACGGCCCACCAAGCCUUCGAUGGGUAGGGGUUCUGAGAGGAAGGCCCCCCACAUUGGAACUGAGACACGGUCCAAACUCCUACGGGAGGCAGCAGUGAGGAAUAUUGGUCAAUGGCCGAGAGGCUGAACCAGCCAAGUAGCGUGGAGGAUGACUGCCCUACGGGUUGUAAACUCCUUUUAUAAGGGGGUAAAGGCAUCUACGUGUAGAUGUUUGCAAGUACCUUAUGAAUAAGCAUCGGCUAACUCCGUGCCAGCAGCCGCGGUAAUACGGAGGAUGCGAGCGUUAUCCGGAUUUAUUGGGUUUAAAGGGAGCGUAGACGGGAUGUCAAGUCAGCUGUGAAAGUCUGCGGCUCAACCGUAGAAUUGCAGUUGAAACUGGCGUUCUUGAGUGCGUUCGAGGCAGGCGGAAUUCGUGGUGUAGCGGUGAAAUGCAUAGAUAUCACGAAGAACUCCGAUUG